rnacentral:rRNA from 1 species
GCUUAACGCAUGCAAGUCGAGGGGCAGCAUCAUCAAUGCUUGCUUUGAUGGAUGGCGACCGGCGCACGGGUGAGUAACACGUAUCCAACCUGCCGACAACACUGGGAUAGCCUUUCGAAAGAAAGAUUAAUACCGGAUGGCAUAGUUUUCCCGCAUGGGAUAAUUAUUAAAGAAUUUCGGUUGUCGAUGGGGAUGCGUUCCAUUAGGCAGUUGGCGGGGUAACGGCCCACCAAACCUACGAUGGAUAGGGGUUCUGAGAGGAAGGUCCCCCACAUUGGAACUGAGACACGGUCCAAACUCCUACGGGAGGCAGCAGUGAGGAAUAUUGGUCAAUGGACGAGAGUCUGAACCAGCCAAGUAGCGUGAAGGAUGACUGCCCUAUGGGUUGUAAACUUCUUUUAUACGGGAAUAAAGUGAGCCACGUGUGGCUUUUUGUAUGUACCGUAUGAAUAAGGGUCGGCUAACUCCGUGCCAGCAGCCGCGGUAAUACGGAGGAUCCGAGCGUUAUCCGGAUUUAUUGGGUUUAAAGGGAGCGUAGGCGGGUUGUUAAGUCAGUUGUGAAAGUUUGCGGCUCAACCGUAAAAUUGCAGUUGAUACUGGCGACCUUGAGUGCAACAGAGGUAGGCGGAAUUCGUGGUGUAGCGGUGAAAUGCUUAGAUAUCACGAAGAACUCCGAUUGCGAAGGCAGCUUACUGGAUUGUAACUGACGCUGAUGCUCGAAAGUGUGGGUAUCAAACAGGAUUAGAUACCCUGGUAGUCCACACAGUAAACGAUGAAUACUCGCUGUUGGCGAUAUACAGUCAGCGGCCAAGCGAAAGCAUUAAGUAUUCCACCUGGGGAGUACGCCGGCAACGGUGAAACUCAAAGGAAUUGACGGGGGGCCCGCACAAGCGGAGGAACAUGUGGUUUAAUUCGAUGAUACGCGAGGAACCUUACUCGGGCUUAAAUUGCAACUGACUGAACCGGAAACGGUUCUUUCUUCGGACAGUUGUGAAGGUGCUGCAUGGUUGUCGUCAGCUCGUGCCGUGAGGUGUUGGCUUAAGUGCCAUAACGAGCGCAACCCUUACGGGUAGUUACCAUCAGGUUAUGCUGGGGACUCUACCCGGACUGCCGUCGUAAGAUGUGAGGAAGGUGGGGAUGACGUCAAAUCAGCUCGGCCUUUACGUCCGGGGCUACUCACGUGUUACAAUGGGGGGUACAGAAGGCAGCUACACGGCGACGUGGUGCUAAUCCCGAAAGCCUCUCUCAGUUCGGAUUGGAGUCUGCAACCCGACUCCUUGAAGCUGGAUUCGCUAGUAAUCGCGCAUCAGCCUCGGCGCGGUGAAUACGUUCCCGGGCUUUGUACUCUCCUGCUCCGUCUAAGCCUUGAAAGCCGGGGGUACUUGAAGUACGUAACCGCGAGGAGCUUCUUAGGGUAAAACUGGU